rnacentral:rRNA from 1 species
CACGUAGGGGGCGAGCGUUGUCCGGAUUUAUUGGGCGUAAAGAGCUCGUAGGCGGCUCAGUAAGUCUGCUGUGAAAGCUCCAGGCUUAACCUGGAGAGGCCAGUGGAUACUGCUGUGGCUAGAGUCCGGUAGGGGAGCGUGGAAUUCCCAGUGUAGCGGUGGAAUGCGCAGAUAUUGGGAGGAACACCAGCGGCGAAGGCGGCGCUCUGGACCGGAACUGACGCUGAGGAGCGAAAGCGUGGGUAGCAAACAGGAUUAGAUACCCUGGUAGUCCACGCCGUAAACGUUGGGCACUAGGUGUGGGAUCCCGUCAACGGAUUCCGUGCCGUAGCUAACGCAUUAAGUGCCCCGCCUGGGGAGUACGGCCGCAAGGCUAAA